rnacentral:rRNA from 1 species
CCUACUCUUGACAUCCAGAGGAACUUAGCAGAGAUGGUUUGGUGCCUUUCGGGAACUCUGAGACAGGUGCUGCAUGGCUGUCGUCAGCUCGUGUUGUGAAAUGUUGGGUUAAGUCCCGCAACGAGCGCAACCCUUAUCCUUUGUUGCCAGCGGUCCGGCCGGGAACUCAAAGGAGACUGCCAGUGAUAAACUGGAGGAAGGUGGGGAUGACGUCAAGUCAUCAUGGCCCUUACGAGUAGGGCUACACACGUGCUACAAUGGCGCAUACAAAGAGAAGCGAACUCGCGAGAGCAAGCGGACCUCAUAAAGUGCGUCGUAGUCCGGAUUGGAGUCUGCAACUCGACUCCAUGAAGUCGGAAUCGCUAGUAAUCGUAGAUCAGAAUGCUACGGUGAAUACGUUCCCGGGCCUUGUACACACCGCCCGUCACACCAUGGGAGAGGGUUGCAAAAGAAGUAGGUAGCUUAACCUUCGGGAGGGG